CAGGCUGAAGACCUUACCCGAUUAGCUGAGAGGUGGUGCAUGGCCGUCGUCAGUUCGUACUGUGAAGCAUCCUGUUAAGUCAGGCAACGAGCGAGACCCACGUCCACAGUUGCCAGCAUACCCUCCGGGGUGAUGGGUACACUGUGGAGACCGCCGCUGCUAAAGCGGAGGAAGGAGUGGGCAACGGUAGGUCAGUAUGCCCCGAAUCUCCCGGGCUACACGCGGGCUACAAUGGUUGGUACAAUGGGCAUCUACCCCGAAAGGGGAAGGAAAUCUCUUAAAGCCAAUCGUAGUUCGGAUUGAGGGCUGCAACUCGCCCUCAUGAAGCUGGAAUCCGUAGUAAUCGCGUUUCAACAGAACGCGGUGAAUACGUCCCUGCUCCUU
rnacentral:rRNA from 1 species